AAAGUUAACUCAUCCCGAACCCCCUUUUUCUAAAGAUCCUUAGAAUCCAUGAAAGGGGAGUCGAAAAGGUAGGGUUGGAAACGACUUUGCCUCCCGAACUCGCCAAUGUUUUAGUGGCGGGGAAAUUGGAAAGGGAAGAUGACAAAUUCUGA
rnacentral:ncRNA from 2 species